UACGUAGGGGGCAAGCGUUGUCCGGAAUCAUUGGGCGUAAAGCGCGCGUAGGCGGCCUCGUAAGUCCGCUGUAGAAGUCAAAGGCUCAACCUUUGAACGCCGGUGGAUACUGCGAGGCUAGAGUCCGGAAGAGGCGGGUGGAACUCCUGGUGUAGCGGUGGAAUGCGCAGAUAUCAGGAAGAACACCAACGGCGAAGGCAGCCCGCUGGGACGGUACUGACGCUAAGGCGCGAAAGCGUGGGGAGCGAACAGG
rnacentral:rRNA from 1 species